CAGGAAAUAGUUUAUUAAAAUAUUAAUUUUGGAGAUUAAAGAUAGGGAGUUUUCCUUUUCCUGA
rnacentral:tRNA from 1 species